rnacentral:lncRNA from 1 species
GUGAACAUGAUGUACACAGAACAUAAUCAGCACAGAAUUUGAAAUAUAUCAUGAUGUACACCCAAAAGUUAUAUAAUGUUAUAAUCCAAUGUUACUGCAAUGAAAAAAAAUUAAAAGAAUUAAGACUAAAUAUACGUGAUGGAAUAUCACGAUAAUAGGAGCAGAUGGAAUAUCGAGAACAGAAAUAGCUCCAAACAAAUAACGUCUUUUGUGUCUCUUCUGUUAGGUUGUUUGUAACCUAAAACAGUUCUGUCCUGGACAGUCUUGAUCCAGCAACCUUAGUAGAUCCCAUGCUUGCGUCUUGACCAAAUUCAUCUUGAAGAGCUUGGUUUUAAAUAACCUGUAGGUUGUACCAUUCAAGAGUCUUACAUUUGGGAGCACAGAGUUAAUUUGCUCUCUGGUGGGUACUCAAGGGUCUGCUCCCCGUCGAGCUGCUGCAGUGUGUAAGAGCAGGCUCAAUGGGUGUCCUUCCACUGGGAUCUGAGUGCUAUUUUUUCUUGGUAUUCCUCUUGUCUCUGGUUUGUAGUCCAUGGCGUGGUCCUCAGUGAGGGGUCAGGGGCAAGACAAGGGCAGCUUGCUGAUGAGAACACUGGCCAGCUCAGUCUAGUUUUUACAAAAGUGGACAACGUCAGAAUGUAACAGCUGAGAUUAGGGUGGCCAUACAACAUGCGAGCCAAACUAGGACACUUUUGAGAGUGAAGUGAGGGGGUGGGUAUGAAGAAUUAUGCUGGCACAAUGUGUUAGUCAGGGCUCUCCGGAGAAACAGAACAAAUAGGAAAUAGAUAUAUGUAUAAAUUAGAAGAAAUUUGGCUUAUGUUGUUGUGGAGGUUGAGAAGUCCCAAAUCUUCAGUCAGUGAGCUGGAGACCUAAUGAUUGGUGGUGGUGUAGUUUCAGUUCAAAUCCAAAGGCCUGAGAACCAGGAGAGCCAACAAGCGUAAGUUCCAGUCUGAGGGGAGGAGACCAAUGUCCCAGCUCAGUCAGGCAGAGAGAGACAGAAAUAGGGAGAGAAUUCUGCCUUAUUUGCCCUUCAUUGUUGAGGCCUUCAACUGAUUGGAUGAGGCCCACCCAAUUAGGAGUGCAAUCAGCUUUACUCAGUCUAUGGAUUCAAAUCUUAAUCUCUUCCAGAAACACCCUCACAGAUACACCAAAGUAACAUUUAACCAAAUAUCUGGGCAUCCUGUGGCCCAGUCAAGUUGACACAGAAAAUUAACCAUUACAGACAACAAGCAGAAACCAGGACUGGAAAAACUAAGAUAGAUGGUCACCCCAAGCAGAGUUCUCUAACGGGGAUAUAACACUAAAAUGCAGAGGUCUUCGAAGAACUGUUUCAAAAGGAUUCAUUAUUUUUCUUGUGCAGAGGAACGAAUUCUCAUGACUAUAAAAGGUGAAAGAGAAGACCAAGACAUUUCUGUUUCACCUACUGGAUCAGCCAGCUUGUUUUUGACAGUUGUAGCAACCUGUUUCACUUUUCCCAGGUUUGGGAAAGGUGGAUGUAGAUAUGGGUAGUAAAACUGUGAAGUGGCCCCAGUAGCCUGCCUGAUAGCUAGAGGAACUUGUCCGUUAAGCGAGGCUCUGUGCGAGGGGUGCACUGAAGGCCUUCUCCAGGUGGGGCCGAACGACAGACUGUGCUGAUGUCUUUGCAACAGGACAAAGGGGUGCUUUGCCCCAGGGGAGUGACUUCACCCACUCUGAAAAUGUCCCUCGCUCGGAGGACGUGUUCGCCACGCCUGAAGCUAAUAUUACAAGCAUUACGAUUUUACAUCAAGUUGGGAAGUACCCAAAAGCUGAAUCCGAGUCCGUACAGAUUUUUCCAGAAGCCAGAGGACACCCCAGGGUGAGGAUCAUCUCCACCCGCUCUGUCUCAGGCACAGAAGGAAAAUGACGUGUCUCCGCGGGGUGCGAAGAGCAAGCUGCGCCGCUGGGAGCCCGCGGUCCCCUGCUCCAUCAGCCGGGCGCCUCUGGGUCAGUCAUUGUGGUGAAGCUGGGACCCGGCUUCCAGUGGGGCUACACUGCAUGGCCCCAGGCUAAUUCGGUACAGGUGCUGUGCCGCUGCGUUGGGGCCCCCUCCCUGCAGGCUCUGACGGGCCACCACCUCGUCCUCCCCAGGGCUUCUCCCAUGCCUUGGCGGAAUGGCUUUGUGCCCCAACAAUGUGUAAAUGCCGAUGCUAUUUAACCCUUUGAAACUCUAAUUUUAUAAACAUAAUUCAUCUUAUCAAUCAUGCUAUUAUACAAUGUUUAUAAUAGAUCUAUUUUCUCUAUCUUCAUUGAGCAUCAUAAAGAUAUGUACGUUUCUAUGGACAAGAAUACACAGGCCAAAACCACAUGAGCAUGUACUUUACUUUUCCUUUAUUUCUAAAUUUAAAAUUCUUUGUUUGGAAAAUUUUCAGAUACAUCAAGUUUACUCCCUAACUACCUCAGUUGAGACUUAAAGGUCUCAAGUCA